rnacentral:lncRNA from 1 species
GUACCUGUGUCGUUUAUAUGGACUUUUAUUUCAUUAUAAAGAAUUUUGUUUAUUUACACCCACAAGUUGCUGGGGAGAUUGGUGGUUAUUUAACCUUUUUAAGUUACUUUGUUCAUUUAAUAAAAUCAUUUCUAGUUAUAGCUUCAAACUGGUGGGAUUUUAAUGCUGUGAAAUGGUGGUUAGUCGAUCAUGAAUUAUACAUUUCGCUAAAGAUAAGUUUUGACAGGAAGAACAGGGCAAGGGGGUCAGAUCCCCGACACAGUGUGGGGUGUGUGUCCCUACGUGUCAAAAUUAUAAACUAUCCAUUUCUAAUUUAAAAUCUCAUAUAUUCUACAUGAAACCAAAAUAAUGUUUAUGAAUAACUAAAAAAGGAAUAAUUAGGAAUAACAAUUUUAAAAGAUAUAGCC